GCAUUGGUGGUUCAGUGGUAGAAUUCUCACCUUCUAUGAGGGAGACCCAUGUUCAAUUCCCAGCCAAUGCG
rnacentral:tRNA from 1 species